rnacentral:lncRNA from 1 species
GAGUCACCGAAUGUUUUGUCCUUUAUACUAACAUAGUGCUUUAGAAAGAGAACCACGCUUGAGAUCUGAGAAACCGAUGGCGGGGGGGAAAAUGGGGUUGCUGUUGAAACUAGAUGGUGAAAGCUAAAAGUAAGGAUUUCUCUUCAAACCUAAGCUGAGAUAUGACCAGAAGGAAAACGAUUGGCUACGAGCUCUCUCUCUCUCUCUCCUUCUCCCCACCCCCCUCUCUCUCUUCCCCCCACCCCUCUCUCACUCUCAUUCUCUAUUAGGUAAAUUUGAAAAACUAAACAAACAAACAAACAAAUGACUUGGCACUUUUAAAGGUAACUUCACCAAAGACCGACGAGCCAGUAGCCAGCAGCUCCACCUAUCUCAGCGUCACAUCCUGUCUGUCCUUUCUUUUUUGCCGGACCAGUUUGCGGUUAGGAGAAUGUGCCUUUUUUGUACCUUCGCAUUAGGUUUUAUAAUUUUAACUGAUGUAUGGACUCACAGAGACAAAAUUUAAAAAAUUUAAAAAUUAAAAAAAAAAAAAAAAAAAAGCAAGCAUGAAGGAAGAUUUGAAUCCAGGCAGUGCCGCCCUCUGACGUCAUCACUACAGGUGUUUGCGUGGAAAGAAAACCAACUUUGAAACUAUGAAAUUCCUGAUUCAUAAAUACAGUUAUUUCUACUUUAGUACAUACAAGAUAACUCACUGUUAUUAACACUCUUUUUUAUUAAGGCAGUUGCAUACGUUUUCAAAAGCAAUGGUGAAUUAAGUUGUCUUCCAAAACUGUGUACUUGUCUGGUCAGCUGUACGUGAUCAGUUAUCUACCUCAGAGGCUAUUUUUCUUUUGUGCUGGGACAGGUUGCUGGCCCUCCCUGUUUCCACCGACCAAAUCCUCCUAGCUCAGGAGCUAGGGCUAAGCAGUUACUUCUUUUGAGUAUUUUUUAGUUCUUAAAUUUUAUUGCUUGUAUUUGAUGAUAGAUGUCAGCGACAUUUCAUAGUUUCAAAAAUCCUUGCUGCUCUGAAAGUGUAGAUUCUAGUGAAAAUUACAUAGUCAUAAGAGAAAUGUGGGGUUUUUUGUUUUUGUUCUUGUUCUUGGUUUUGGUUUUGUUUCUGUUUUUGUUUUUUUUAAGUUGUGGUAUUAUUGGUUUUAUGCUCCCUAAAACUUGUGCUUUGUGAAGUCCAGACUGAAGGCAGCACACCCUCCGUGGAUCGAGUAUGUUGAUCAGCCCAAGACUCUCACUACUUGAUAUUUUUUUCCAUUAGUUAAGACAGAAAGUUGAUAGCUCAGUCAGUAGGGGAGGGGAGAUCUGCUGCUAGGUAUGUCUGAACUAAGUGCCAUACUCGUCUGGGUCAGAUUUGGGAAACAACCUCUGUACAUAUAAAAGAAAAAAAAUGUCAGUUAAACAUCACAUAGUAGACAGCCAUUAAAUUAUAAAAAAAAUUAAUUUAUGAAGAAAGACCUUUUGUACAGAUUGAAAAAAAAGAUUUUCAUAGAGAUAUCUAUAUGAUCAAGAGAGUUAAUUUUUUAUUUUUGUUCUACUAGUGCUACAUACUUGCCAGUGGUGACUUAUUUACCGGUUCAAGAUGACUCUGUAGUUUUCUUUCCUAGGACUUGUUAAACGCCAAAAGACAUUUUUGAACUGUACAUUUGAUCAGAUUGUUAGCUUUUUCUGUUUUAUUUCUUUUGAGAACCUUUGAAUAAAAACAUCUGAAACUUUC